rfam:Loxodonta africana unplaced genomic scaffold scaffold_6, whole genome shotgun sequence.
GUAUUGGUGGUUCAGUGGUAGAAUUGUUGCCUUUCAUGCAGUAGACUGGGUUCAAUUCCUAGCCAAUGCA